GACAGCCUACUGGCUGGCCCUGGGCUUCAUUCCCUCCUCCUGUGCCAGAGCCUUUUGUUAGUAGGUGUCCUGGCUGCCAGGUAGCCGGGAAAAGCAAUUCUGGACUCCCAGGGCGCCUGGGCCCACUGGGGUCUGACUGCAAAUCUCAAACCCCCUACUUGAGAUAUUUCACCCCCAAAACUCAGCAACCGGCUUUGAUGCUCAGGCUGGGGGUGGGGGUAAGGCUGGAGGAGCUGACUGCCUCAGGGCACCAGGAACCAGGACUAGGAACAGCACCCCAGGUUCCCCCUCCGCCCUCAUCCUCUUGUUCCUGUGACUAUGAGAGCCUCUCUACCUGUCAUCUACCUGUCUCCCCUCAUAGCCUCAUGGCAGUGCCCCCCACCCUUCACAGCCAGGGUUCAGCUCCAGUGAGGACAGUCCUUGUGAGGGUCCUGGGCCGGAUGGGGUCACCUGAUCCUGGUCCUGCCCUACAAAGCACCCAGUGACAGAUGAGUAUAAAAGGAACCUGUGGCUGACAGACACUGCAGAUGCAGCUCAGCUGUGGAAGACAUGAGGUCUUCUCUUUUGCUACAACAUGGACAGAACGGAGUGGGUGGGCAUGCGCUAAGUGCGAGAUGAGCCAGAGGAGCGCAAUCUUACCCACCGGUGGAUUUAAGAAACAAAGCAUGCAGGACUGCAGGGGCAGCGUAAUGGUUCUGCCAAAGACUACUCUGCCUGAGAUUCUGAGGUCCUAGGUUCAACCCCCAGAACCACCAUUAACCAGAACUGAGCAGGGGCUCUGGUCUCCCCCUCCUUCUCUCUCUGUGUAUGUGUAUCUUUUUCAUUAAAAAAAUGCAAAAAAGGAUUUAUCAUCAAAAGAAAGAGAAAGAAACAAAGGGAAAGCACAAUAAAAAAUGUUAGGAAACUGUGGUCUCUGCUAGCAGGGCUAAACAAACAUGAGGAGUCUGGUUUCAUCAGAUGCUGAGAGUGGACCCCAGGUAACUGAGACGUGCAGCCGGACGAACCCCGCACUCAACAGCUCGUCUUGGGAGAACCUUCGAGACCCGGAGCUCGGCCAUGGGCCUUGCUUUCCAGAGCCGCAAGCAAGCCCAAGGCAAAGGUCUCUGAGCUCGGCAGCCCUCCUUCAGCUAAGGUCAGAGGGACGACACCCCGCGGAGGCCCCUACCUGUGGGUGCACAGCCUCUGCAGAAGCUUUACCAGCAGCUUCGGGGCUACGGGGGCCUCUUCACACUCUGCUGGGGAGACCUUCCCCCUCUUCAGCCACCUCCUCCAUUUCUCCUUCAGAACGUGCAUUCAGGGCCACAGAGGUGAGAAGGUGCACAGUUAACAUGCAACACGUUUGAUCAACAAGAGAGAAAAGCUCUACAGAAUCCUCACCUUGGGGCCUUGUGGGAGUUGAGUUGGUAUCUGGGAAACUGGGAAAUGUUGUGCAUGUACAAUUGAUUGUUAUUUUAUUUGUAUUAUUUUAUUUAUUCUUAAUGUAUUUAUUGGGCUAGUGUUUUACAGUCAACAGUAAACACAAUAGUUUUUACAUGCAUAACAUUCCCCAGUUUUCUACACAACUAUACAAAGGAUUAUAUUUUACUGCUGACUAUAAACCAUUAAUCCCCCAAUAAAGAAAUUUAAAAAUAUCCUGAUGUUCAACGCAAAUAGAAAAUUAGAAUCCUCGACAUGAAGAGAGAACUGGGCUUUUACUGCCAGCAUGAGGCAUUUUAGUGGUGCAUCCUGAAACUUAUAAACUGUUCAAAUACCAGAAACUGACUUCAGUGAAAUGUAGCUGGGAAAUGAUAAAAGCCCCAGUGCCCUCCCGUGUGCUGUGAACUGCACCUGCUUCCCAGAGAAAUAUUUGUCCGUGU